rnacentral:rRNA from 1 species
AGUAAAAGUCGUAACAAGGUUUCCGUAGGUGAACCUGCGGAAGGAUCAUUUAUCUAUUCAUGAUGCACGCAGCAGAGGCCCCCUCUGGGGCACCUUAGGUGGUGGCCCCCCUGUGGACAAGCGGUGCUGCGUUCUCGUUGAACAUCCCGUCUGUGUAUAUGACUUUUGUUGCUUCCCGCAGUGGCAGAUCAUGUCUCCACGGGGAGGAAAUCAUAAACUCUGGUUGUUUGUACUGUUAGUCUGAGUGGUAUACACUUAAAAAAACAAGUUAAAACUUUCAACAACGGAUCUCUUGGUUCUCGCAUCGAUGAAGAACGCAGCGAAAUGCGAUAAGUAGUGUGAAUUGCAGAAUUCAGUGAAUCAUCGAAUCUUUGAACGCACAUUGCGCCUUCUGGUAUUCCGGGAGGCAUGCCUGUUCGAGCGUCAUCAAACACAUCCUCAAGCAAUUGUGCUUGGUCUUGGAGGAAGAUGUCAUCAUCCCCUCUCAAAUUCCUCAGCAGAGAGACUAUGCAGUUGGCUGGUGUGAUAGUUACCAUUCGCCUGACAACUGUUGACACAUUCUUGCUGUCAAGAGCCCCCAGCUUCUUUAUGAGUUUGACCUCGGAUCAGGUAGGGAUACCCGCUGAACUUAAGCAUAUCAAUAAGCGGAGGA